UUAAAUGGCUGCAGUAUUUUGACUGUACUAAGGUAGCAUAAUCAUUAGUUUUUUAAUUGAAAGCUAGAAUGAAGGGUUGGAUGAGAAAAUAAGUGUCUUUAUAUAAUUAAAUUAUAAUUUUAUUUUUAAGUUAAAAAGCUUAAAUAAUUUUAAAAGACGAGAAGACCCUAUAGAGUUUUAUAAUUGAUAUUUAUUUUAUUUUUAGGAUUAAAAUUAUUAUAUUAAUUAAUUAUUUAAUUGGGGUGAUUAAAAAAUUUAUUUAACUUUUUUUUUAUUUAAAUAUAAUUUAAUAAAUUAUUGAUCCAUUAAUUAUGAUUAUAAGAUUAAAUUACCUUAGGGAUAACAGCGUAAUUUUAUUAGAAAGUU
rnacentral:rRNA from 1 species